rnacentral:rRNA from 1 species
AGAGUUUGAUCCUGGCUCAGAACGAACGCUGGCGGCGUGGAUAAGACAUGCAAGUCGGACGAGAUUUUUCGUUGUAGCAAUACGAUGGAAAGUCUAGUGGCGAACGGGUGCUUAACACGUGGGCAACCUGCCAAGAAGUGGGGGAUAGCUCGCCGAAAGGCGAAUUAAUACCGCAUGUGAUCAGAGAGGACAUCCUUUCGAAAUUAAAGUCGGGGCAACCUGACGCUUUUUGUGGGGCCCGCGGCCUAUCAGCUAGUCGGUGAGGUAACGGCCCACCAAGGCUUUGACGGGUAGCUGGUCUGAGAGGACGACCAGCCACACUGGGACUGAGACACGGCCCAGACACCUACGGGUGGCAGCAGUCGAGAAUUUUUGACAAUGGGGGAAACCCUGAUCGAGCGACGCCGCGUGGAGGAUGAAGGUCUUCGGAUUGUAAACUCCUGUCAUUGGGGAACAAUGCGUGACGGUUAACUGCCGUUGCGUUGAUAGUACCCGAAGAGGAAGAGACGGCUAACUCUGUGCCAGCAGCCGCGGUAAUACAGAGGUCUCAAGCGUUGUUCGGAUUCAUUGGGCGUAAAGGGUGCGUAGGCGGCGCGGUAAGUCGGGUGUGAAAUCUCGGAGCUUAACUCCGAAACUGCAUUCGAUACUGCCGUGCUUGAGGACUGGAGAGGAGACUGGAAUUUACGGUGUAGCGGUGAAAUGCGUAGAUAUCGUAAGGAAGACCAGUGGCGAAGGCGGGUCUCUGGACAGUUCCUGACGCUGAGGCACGAAGGCCAGGGGAGCAAACGGGAUUAGAUACCCCGGUAGUCCUGGCAGUAAACGGUGCACGUUUGGUGUGGGAGGAUUCGACCCCUUCUGCGCCGGAGCUAACGCGUUAAACGUGCCGCCUGGGGAGUACGGUCGCAGAUUAAAACUCAAAGAAAUUGACGGGGCCCGCACAAGCGGUGGAGUAUGUGGCUCAAUUCGAUGCAACGC